rnacentral:tRNA from 1 species
UCUCUGAUAGCUCAGUUGGUAAAGAAUCUGCCUGCAAUGCAGGAGACCCUGGUUCAAUUCCUGGGUCAGGAA